rfam:Camelus ferus unplaced genomic scaffold scaffold803, whole genome shotgun sequence.
GGGUACAUAGCUCAGUGGUACAGAGCAUGCUUAGCUUGCACGAGGUCCUGGGUUCAAUCCCCAGUACCUCCA